UUUUAUAUAUAAUAAGUUGCUUAUUCCUGAAUUAUUUACAUGUUUUGAUGUGCUUGUACAUUAAUGUUAUCUGCAAUAUUAUUGAUGGAUCGUAUUUGAUUCAUAGAUCGAGAAGGUUGGUUGAAGAUUUAAGAAACAAAAGAUGCUAGCUUUUUCAGCCUAUUAAGAUUCAGAGUCGUACACUUAUUUUGCCACAGAAGGUGCCAAGAAAAUUGAGAACUACCUUACAAAUGCAAGGAGUAGAAGGAUGUGAAUAAUCUCUUUGCUUGCUAAUCGUCUACACUUUAAAGGGUCAUAUUAAGGAAGAAUAAAAGAGUUGAA